GAUGAACGCUGGCGGCGUGCCUAAUACAUACAAGUCGAGCGAACAGAUGAGGAGCUUGCUCCUCUGACGUUAACGGCGGACGGGUGAGUAACACGUGGAUAACCUACCUUUGAGACUGGGAUAACUUCGGGAAACCGGAGCUAAUACCGGAAAAUAUAUUGAACCGCAUGGUUCAAUAGUGAAAGACGGUUUUGCUGUCACUUAUCGAUGGAUCCGCGCCGCAUUGGCUAGUUGGUAAGGUAACGGCUUACCAAGGCAACGAUGCGUAGCCGACCUGAGAGGGCGAUCGGCCACACUGGAACUGAGACACGGCCCACACUGCUACGGGCGCCACCAGGAGUGAAUCUGCCGCAAUGGGCGAAAACCUGACGGCGCAGCGCCGAGUGAGUGAUGAAGGUCUUCGCAUGGUAAAUCUCUGCUAUCAGGUAAGAACCAAUUUGUAAUACACUAGGCGCGUAUGUGCCGUUCCGAAUAGGAGAGGCACCGCCAACUUCCUU
rnacentral:rRNA from 1 species